CUACGGGUCGCUGCAGUGAGGAAUAUUGCACAAUGGGGGGAACCCUGAUGCAGCAACGCCGCGUGGAGGAUGACGCAUUUCGGUGUGUAUACUCCUUUUAUAUGUCAAGAAAAUGACGGUAGCAUAUGAAUAAGCACCGGCUAACUCCGUGCCAGCAGCCGCGGUAAUACGGAGGGUGCAAGCGUUACUCGGAAUCACUGGGCGUAAAGGACGCGUAGGCGGGUUGGAAAGUCAGGUGUGAAAUCCUACAGCUUAACUGUAGAACUGCACUUGAAACUUCUAAUCUAGAGUAUGGGAGGGGGAGAUGGAAUUAGUGGUGUAGGGGUAAAAUCCGUAGAUAUCACUAGGAAUACCUAAAGCGAAGGCGAUCUCCUGGAACAUUACUGACGCUAAGGCGUGAAAGCGUGGGUAGCAAACAGGAUUAGAUACCCCAGUAGUC
rnacentral:rRNA from 1 species